rnacentral:rRNA from 1 species
GACGUAGGGGGCAAGCGUUGUUCGGAAUUAUUGGGCGUAAAGAGCUCGUAGGCGGUUUGUCGCGUCGAAUGUGAAAACCCGGGGCUCAACCCCGGGCCUGCAUUCGAUACGGGCAGACUAGAGUUCGGUAGGGGAGUCUGGAAUUCCUGGUGUAGCGGUGAAAUGCGCAGAUAUCAGGAGGAACACGGGUGGCGAAGGCGGGACUCUGGGCCGAUACUGACGCUGAGGAGCGAAAGCGUGGGGAGCAAACAGG